rnacentral:rRNA from 1 species
CCCUUAGACGUUCUGGGCCGCACGCGCGCUACACUGACGAAUGCAACGAGCUUAUAACCUUGGCCGAAAGGUCUGGGUAAUCUCCAAAUUUCGUCGUGAUGGGGAUAGAUUAUUGCAAUUAUUAAUCUUCAACGAGGAAUGCCUAGUAAGCGCAAGUCAUCAGCUUGCGUUGAUUACGUCCCUGCCCUUUGUACACACCGCCCGUCGCUCCUACCGAUUGAAUGGUCCGGUGAAGCGCUCGGACCGCGGCCUCUUGACGGUUUUCCGUCGAUUGGCUGUGGGAAGUUCGUUAAACCUUAUCAUUUAGAGGAAGGAGAAGUCGUAACA